rnacentral:rRNA from 1 species
ACGCUGGCGGCGUGCCUAACACAUGCAAGUCGAACGGAGUAAAGCGCUGAAUUGAUGUAAGCUUGCUUAUGGAUUUUCUUGUUUUACUUAGUGGCGGACGGGUGAGUAACGCGUGAAUAACCUGCCCUUCAGUGUGGAAUAACGUCUGGAAACGGACGGUAAUACCGCAUAACAUCUUAGUGCCGCAUGACACAGAGAUCAAAGGAGCAAUUCGCUGAAGGAUGGAUUCGCGUCCGAUUAGCCAGUUGGCGGGGUAACGGCCCACCAAAGCGACGAUCGGUAGCCGGACUGAGAGGUCGAACGGCCACAUUGGGACUGAGACACGGCCCAGACUCCUACGGGAGGCAGCAGUGGGGGAUAUUGCACAAUGGAGGAAACUCUGAUGCAGCAACGCCGCGUGAGGGAAGAAGGUUUUCGGAUUGUAAACCUCUGUCUUCGGUGACGAUAAUGACGGUAGCCGAGGAGGAAGCUCCGGCUAACUACGUG